UAGGGAAUAUUAGAAAUGGACGAAAGUCUGAUCUAGCAACACCGCGUGUGCGAAGAAGGCCUUCGGGUUGUAAAGCACUUUUUGGAAGGAUUAGGAAGGAAUGUACUUCCAGAAUAAGUCUCGGCUAACUACGUGCCAGCAGCCGCGGUAACACGUAGGAGGCAAACGUUAUCCGGAUUUACUGGGCGUAAAGUGCGUGUAGGUGGUUCUGUAAGUAGGGCGUGAAAGCUCCUGGCUCAACUGGGUGAGGCCGUUCUAAACUGCAGGGCUAGAGGAUGGUAGAGGGAGGUGGAAUUCCGGGUGUAGCGGUGGAAUGCGCAGAUAUCCGGAGGAACACCAGUGGCGAAAGCGGCCUCCUGGACCAUUCCUGACACUCAGACGCGAAAGCUAGGGUAGCAAACG
rnacentral:rRNA from 1 species